UCAAGUUUUUUGGGUCCUCAUGGUCAUGGCAGUCUUUACGAAGAACAGGGUUGUUGCCGUGUGCUUGGGGGCUCUCAUGCUCAUGGCGACCCUUGAUCUCUCCUCGGCAGGUUCAGUCUAUGUUGGAUGUUUCGAGCCACACCAGAACUGCUUCCCAGAUGAGUGUCAGAAGACAUGCGUGGACAAUGUUCCUGGAAACAAUCUGAAAGGUUCCUGCGAGCCGGACCAUGGCCCACUAAAACCGUAUCCCGCGGUUCAGUGUUGUUGCUAUAGAGACCCUCCGGUCAUGAGUAACAUGGGCGCUUAAUUAGUCGACGACGGGGAUAAGACCAUCAGUUCGAUCCACCUGUUGUACACAACUAAUAGAUCAAUAUCUUUGAGGAAAGUCAGAUUAACAAAGUCAUGAGCUAAGUCAAAUAAGUAGUAUAUGUUAUGAUUAUUGAGAGAAAUAAUAAUAUUGUUGUCUGCGGUGCA